rnacentral:rRNA from 1 species
UACCAGCACCCCGAGUGGUCGGGACGUUUAUUGGGCCUAAAGCAUCCGUAGCCGGUUCUACAAGUCUUCCGUUAAAUCCAGCUGCUUAACAGAUGGGCUGCGGAAGAUACUAUGGAGCUAGGAGGCGGGAGAGGCAAGCGGUACUCGAUGGGUAGGGGUAAAAUCCGUUGAUCCAUUGAAGACCACCAGUGGCGAAGGCGGCUUGCCAGAACGCGCUCGACGGUGAGGGAUGAAAGCUGGGGGAGCAAACCGGG